CCAACUCUCUCUCUCUCUCUCUCUAUAUAUAUAUAUAUAUGACGUGGCUACUAUACUAUUAUGAGUAUUGGAGCCCUCAGACUCAUAAGUUGUUUUCAAUAAUGCAGCUUCCGAAUCGACGAUCCACGCCGUUAAAUAUGAUCUAGGGUAUUUGAAACUUCUAGAAAAUAAAUUUUGUAAAUUUUCGAAAUCAUAAUAAAAUCCAUCAAGUGGGCAUAAAAUGAACGGUUAAAAUCGAACAACGUUCUAAAAAAGGAUGAUCGGAUCCUUCAAUUCAAAAUCAGAGUUACUGAUCUUUAUCUAUGUAGUGAAUAGAAUUUUCUAUCAAAAAUUCAACAAAUUCCGAUUCUUUUACACCGUUAAACUAGCAAGUAUCCCAUACCGGCCGUUAAAAAUUGUCAAAUUUGUGACCCCUUGAUCGUAAGGUAAAUGAUGUCGAAAAAUUAUAAAAUUUGAUUUUUAGAAGUUUUAAAUGUUGUAAAUAAUGUUUAACGGUGUGGAUCGUCGAUUCGGAAGCUCUAUCAUCGAAAAUAACUUAUGAGUACGAAGGCGAUCGUACUCAUAAUAGUAUAGUAGCCGGACCCNNNNNNNNNNNNNNUAUUUGAUGUUAUAUUUGAAUUUGUAUUUUAAAAAUUUAGAUUUAUUAUAAUAUAUUUUGAAAUAUUGAAAAAAGAAAUAAUUGUUUCGGGUUCAAAUUUUUGGAUUCGGAUUUGGAUAUGGAUUUUUAAAAUCCGUUGGGUUCAGGUUCGGGUCUCGGGUUUGGAGUCGGGUUCGAGUUUGGGUUCGGGUUUUUGAAAAUUCG
rnacentral:lncRNA from 1 species